GUCGAGCGGACAGAUGGGAGCUUGCUCCCUGAUGUUAGCGGCGGACGGGUGAGUAACACGUGGGUAACCUGCCUGUAAGACUGGGAUAACUCCGGGAAACCGGGGCUAAUACCGGAUGGUUGUUUGAACCGCAUGGUUCAAACAUAAAAGGUGGCUUCGGCUACCACUUACAGAUGGACCCGCGGCGCAUUAGCUAGUUGGUGAGGUAACGGCUCACCAAGGCGACGAUGCGUAGCCGACCUGAGAGGGUGAUCGGCCACACUGGGACUGAGACACGGCCCAGACUCCUACGGGAGGCAGCAGUAGGGAAUCUUCCGCAAUGGACGAAAGUCUGACGGAGCAACGCCGCGUGAGUGAUGAAGGUUUUCGGAUCGUAAAGCUCUGUUGUUAGGGAAGAACAAGUGCCGUUCGAAUAGGGCGGUACCUUGACGGUACCUAACCAGAAAGCCACGGCUAACUACGUGCCAGCAGCCGCGGUAAUACGUAGGUGGCAAGCGUUGUCCGGAAUUAUUGGGCGUAAAGGGCUCGCAGGCGGUUUCUUAAGUCUGAUGUGAAAGCCCCCGGCUCAACCGGGGAGGGUCAUUGGAAACUGGGGAACUUGAGUGCAGAAGAGGAGAGUGGAAUUCCACGUGUAGCGGUGAAAUGCGUAGAGAUGUGGAGGAACACCAGUGGCGAAGGCGACUCUCUGGUCUGUAACUGACGCUGAGGAGCGAAAGCGUGGGGAGCGAACAGGAUUAGAUACCCUGGUAGUCCACGCCGUAAACGAUGAG
rnacentral:rRNA from 1 species